AACGAACGCUGGCGGCAGGCCUAACACAUGCAAGUCGAACGAGAAGCCAGAGCUUGCUCUGGUGGAAAGUGGCAGACGGGUGAGUAACGCGUGGGAACCUACCCAGGGGUUCGGAAUAACUCAGGGAAACUUGAGCUAAUACCGGAUACGCCUUGCGAGGGAAAGAUUUAUCGCCCUUGGACGGGCCCGCGUCGGAUUAGUUUGUUGGUGGGUAAAGGCCCACCAAGGCUACGAUCCGUAGCUGGUCUGAGAGGAUGAUCAGCCACACUGGGACUGAGACACGGCCCAGACUCCUACGGGAGGCAGCAGUGGGGAAUCUUGCACAAUGGGCGCAAGCCUGAUGCAGCCAUGCCGCGUGAGUGAAGAAGGCCUUAGGGUUGUAAAACUCUUUCAGCGGGGAAGAUAAUGACGGUACCCGCAGAAGAAGCCCCGGCUAACUCCGUG
rnacentral:rRNA from 1 species